rnacentral:ncRNA from 1 species
CUAAAGAUGAUGACGAAGAGAAAAAUAUCCGGAAUUUAGUCACAGAGAGCUGCUGGUAGGUGUAAAGCAGUACUAAAUGGAUAUAUAAUGAUCACUUCUGAGUCGCGUGACUGAAGGUAAGUAAGUCAUGACGGGUUGACAAACGUUACAUUGUCAGGGUUUGAUAGAACCUGUUGAGAUUAUUGCCAUAGGCAAUAAAAUAGAGUGGUACCGCGUUAACAACGCCUCUAUA